AGACGUCUACAUUAGACUACCCGGUAGUCCCAGCCGUAAACUAUGCUCGCUAGGUGUCAGGCAUGGCGCGACCGUGUCUGGUGCCGCAGGGAAGCCGUGAAGCGAGCCCACCGUGGGAAGUACGGCCGCAAGGCUGAAACUUAAAGGAAUUGGCGGGGGAGCACAACAACGGGUGGAGCCUGCGGUUUAAUUGGUCUCAACGCCGGACAACUCACCGGGGACGACAGCAAUAUGUAGGCCAGGCUGAAGACCUUGCCUGAAUCGCUG
rnacentral:rRNA from 1 species